rnacentral:rRNA from 1 species
AUUGAACGCUGGCGGCAGGCCUAACACAUGCAAGUCGAGCGGAGCGGCGGACGGGUGAGUAAUGCCUAGGAAUCUGCCUGGUCGUGGGGGAUAACGUCCGGAAACGGGCGCUAAUACCGCCUACUCUCAGUUGAACCUAGGUCGGAUUAGCUAGUUGGGGGGGAAAAGGCCUACCACGGCGACGAUCCGUAACUGGUCUGCGAGGAUGAUCAGUCACACUGGAACUGAGACACGGGCCAGACUCCUACGGGAGGCAGCAGUGGGGAAUAUUGGACAAUGGGCGAAAGCCUGAUCCAGCCAUGCCGCGUGUGUGAAGAAGGUCUUCGGAUUGUAAAGCACUUUAAGUUGGGAGGCGUUACCAACAGAAUAAGCACCGGCUAACUUCGUGCCAGCAGCCGCGGUAAUUC